GAGUUUGAUCUUGGCUCAGAACGAACGCUGGCGGCAUGCCUAACACAUGCAAGUCGAACGCCCCGGGCAACCGGGGAGUGGCGGACGGGUGAGUAACGCGUGGGAACCUGCCUCGAAGUUCGGAAUAACCGCGGGAAACUGCGGCUAAUACCGGAUGUGGCCUGAGGGCCAAAGGGGAAACUCGCUUCGAGAGGGGCCCGCGUUCGAUUAGCUAGUUGGUGAGGUAACGGCUCACCAAGGCGACGAUCGAUAGCUGGUCUGAGAGGAUGAUCAGCCACACUGGGACUGAGACACGGCCCAGACUCCUACGGGAGGCAGCAGUGGGGAAUAUUGGACAAUGGGGGCAACCCUGAUCCAGCGACGCCGCGUGUGUGAAGAAGGCCUGCGGGUUGUAAAGCACUUUUAGUGGGGAUGAAAAGCCGAAGGCUAAUACCUUUCGGUCUUGACCUAACCCACAGAAAAGCACCGGCUAACUCUGUGCCAGCCGCCGCCGU
rnacentral:rRNA from 1 species